rnacentral:lncRNA from 1 species
GCCCGGCUAAUUUUUUGUAUUUUUAGCAGAGACGGGGUUUCACCCUGUUAGCCAGGAUGGUCUCAUCUCCUGACCUCGUGAUCCGCCCGCCUAGGCCUCCCAAAGUGCUGGGAUUACAGGCGUGAGCCACCGCGCCCGGCCUAAUAAAGGACAAUUUUUAAUAGCCACUGGACUAUUUAAGUGAUCUCUUCUGUCAGUUUCUUUUACCAUCAGAGGACACAGCAGCAAGGUGCCAUCCUAGAAGCAGAGAGCAGACCCUUACCAGACAACCAACCAGCUGGUGCCAUGAUCUUGGACUUCUCGGCCUCCAGAACUCAACACCACACCCUCCUGAUCACCAUAGCUUUAUGCAACAACAAGAAACAAAUUUAUUAGCUAACCUAACCACUAAUGACGCAAGAGACAAUUCUAAGGACUUUCAAAACAGCAAAGUAGGAGCAGCUGCUACCUCUAGGGAUGAGGGAGAAACUCAAAAAUGCAUACAAAAACCAUUGCAUGAAAAGUGACUGGAUUUGUACAUAGCGUCAGGAGAUGUGCGUAGUGUCAAAGUAUCUCAUCACACAUUACUUGAUAAUUACAAAUGAGAAAAAUGAACCUUCACAGUGGCAAGACUUGACUUCUACCUCUUUCAAAAAGAUGCAAUUGUCCAAUUAUUGGUGAAAUUGUCAUUUCAUGCUAUUGGCUAUUUGAAAUUCCUCCUCUAAUUUCCUUUUCCUGAAGCCUUUCUGGCCUUCUAACUCUGGCUGAAGACCACCUAAAGAAGGAGAAGGAUGUGACUUAGGGGUAGUUUCUUCUAGAAAGAUAAAGGAGGAGAACAUCUAGUGUUGACUUGGAAGUGGGAAUAUUCAAGGAGAGAGAGAGAGAGAAAGAGAGAAUUCCAACUUCUAACCUCCUUCGUUUGAAACUCAUAGGAGUUCAGAAUAAAUCACUGAAAUUGACAUCGGCCAGUCUGAAUUUCAAGAAAUUACCUGCUGAAGACAAGAGGGAUCUCUUCUUCAGAUUUGCAGUCUGGGGAAGACACAGCCUCUACUGUACUUUAGAACCUGAGAUAUGGUGGUGGAGGGAGCCCUGGGUCGAGUGGUAAGAUUCACCCUUAGGUUAGUAUUGACGUAAGGUGACGAGGAGCUGUAGACAAAAGAUUGUAACCAUAAGAACUUCAUAGUUUUUGUAUUUUCACCGAGCUUAUAUUUGGUGUGUUUUUUGUCUUUUCUUUAUGAUUAUCAAUAAAAUGCUUGAAAG